AACGAACGCUGGCGGCAUGCCUAACACAUGCAAGUCGAACGAGAACUCCGGGUCUAGUGGCGCACGGGUGCGUAACGCGUGGGAAGCUGCCCUUAGGUUCGGAAUAACUCCCCGAAAGGGGUGCUAAUACCGGAUAAUGUCUUCGGACCAAAGAUUUAUCGCCUUUGGAUGGGCCCGCGUUGGAUUAGCUAGUUGGUAGGGUAAAAGCCUACCAAGGCGACGAUCCAUAGCUGGUCUGAGAGGCUGAUCAGCCACACUGGGACUGAGACACGGCCCAGACUCCUACGGGAGGCAGCAGUGGGUAAUAUUGGACAAUGGGCGAAAGCCUGAUCCAGCAAUGCCGCGUGAGUGAUGAAGGCCUUAGGGUUGUAAAGCUCUUUUACCCGGGAUGAUAAUGACAGUACCGGGUGAAUAAGCUCCGGCUAACUCCGUG
rnacentral:rRNA from 1 species